rnacentral:tRNA from 1 species
GCGGCGGUGGCGAAAUUGGCUUACGCGCCGGAUUCAAGUCCCGGUGUCCGAAAGGACUUGUGGGUUCGAGUCCCACCCGCCGCA